CAUAUAAGAGGUCCCGCCUGCCCUGUGACUUGGUAGUUUAACGGCCGCGGUAUUUUGACCGUGCGAAGGUAGCGUAAUCACUUGUCUUUUAAAUGAAGACCUGUAUGAAUGGCAUUACGAGGGCUAAGCUGUCUCCUUUUUCCAGUCAAUGAAAUUAAUCUUCCCGUGCAGAAGCGGGAAUCCACACAUAAGACGAGAAGACCCUAUGGAGCUUUAGACAAAGGACAGUUCAUAUUAAAAUAACUAUAUAAACAGAACAAACCAAAUGAUUUCUCUCCCUAUGUCUUUGGUUGGGGCGACCACGGGGGAACAAAAAUCCCCCAUGUGGAAUAGGAACUUUUUUUCCUCAAGACCAGAGCCACAGCUCUAACAAACAGAAUUUCUGACCAACAAGACCCGGCUAAAGCCGAUCAACGGACUGAGUUACCCUAGGGAUAACAGCGCAAUCCCCUUUUAGAGCCCAUAUCGACAAGGGGGUUUACGACCUCGAUGUUGGAUCAGGACAUCCUAAUGGUGCAGCCGCUAUUAAGGGUUCGUUUGUUCAACGAUUAAAGUCCUACGUGAUCUGAGUUCAGACCGGAGUAAUCCA
rnacentral:rRNA from 1 species